rnacentral:rRNA from 1 species
GCUUACGGCCAUACCAACCUGGCUAUGCCAGAUCUUGUCUGAUCUCGGAAGCUAAGCAGGUUUGGGCCUGGUUAGUACUUGGAUGGGAGACCGCCUGGGAAUACCAGGUGCUGUAAGCU